rnacentral:rRNA from 1 species
ACAGGUGCUGCAUGGCUGUCGUCAGCUCGUGUUGUGAAAUGUUGGGUUAAGUCCCGCAACGAGCGCAACCCUUAUCCUUUGUUGCCAGCGGUCCGGCCGGGAACUCAAAGGAGACUGCCAGUGAUAAACUGGAGGAAGGUGGGGAUGACGUCAAGUCAUCAUGGCCCUUACGACCAGGGCUACACACGUGCUACAAUGGCGCAUACAAAGAGAAGC